rnacentral:rRNA from 1 species
GACGAACGCUGGCGGCGUGCUUAACACAUGCAAGUCGAACGGAAAGGCCCUGCUUUUGUGGGGUGCUCGAGUGGCGAACGGGUGAGUAACACGUGAGUAACCUGCCCUUGACUUUGGGAUAACUUCAGGAAACUGGGGCUAAUACCGGAUAGGAGCUCCUGCUGCAUGGUGGGGGUUGGAAAGUUUCGGCGGUUGGGGAUGGACUCGCGGCUUAUCAGCUUGUUGGUGGGGUAGUGGCUUACCAAGGCUUUGACGGGUAGCCGGCCUGAGAGGGUGACCGGCCACAUGGGGACUGAGAGACGGCCCAGACGCGUACGGGAGGCAGCAGUGGGGAAUAUUGCACAAUGGGCGGAAGCCUGAGGCAGAAAUGCCGCGUGCGGGAUGACGGCCUUCGGGUUGUAAACCGCUUUCGCCUGUGACGAAGCGUGAGUGACGGUAAUGGGUAAAGAAGCACCGGCUAACUACGUG